UAGCUCAGACUGCAAUGCCAGUUUUUGAAACAAGAGAGAGAAAUUGAAGAGUUUAUAAUAGAAAAGAUUCUAAAAUGUGAUAAUAAAUCAGGUGAUAGUAAAAAUGCGUCGUGGGAUGACAAAAGCGAGCUUUGUUUGCUAAAGAUAUAUGGGAUAAAGACAUUAGUGAAAAGCUACUUGCCUGUCAAAGAUGCUCAUGUUCGCCCUGGGCCUGGCAUUGAUGGUCUGCUGGAAAUCUUAAGAACCAUACUUUCUUGUGGAGAAAUAUCAAAAGACAUAGAAUCAAGUUCAGUUGACAAGGCCAUUUGGU